UACGUAGGCAGCAAGCGUUGUUCGGAGUUACUGGGCGUAAAGAGUGUGUAGGCGGUUCUCUAAGUUUGGUGUGAAAUCUCCCGGCUUAACUGGGAGGGUGCGCCGAAAACUGGAGGGCUUGAGUAUGGGAGAGGAAAGCGGAAUUCCUGGUGUAGCGGUGAAAUGCGUAGAUAUCAGGAGGAACACCUGUGGUGUAGACGGCUUUCUGGACCAUCACUGACGCUGAGACACGAAAGCGUGGGGAGCAAACAGG
rnacentral:rRNA from 1 species